GGAGGUCCGAACCCACGAGCGUUGAAAAGCUCGGGGAUGACUUGUGGGUAGCGGUGAAAUUCCAAUCGAGCCCGGAGAUAGCUGGUUCUCCCCGAAAUAGCUUUAGGGCUAGCCUCAAGGUGAGAGAUACGGAGGUAGAGCACUGAAUGUCCUAGGGGGUAUUGCACCUACCGAAGACUAUCAAACUCCGAAUGCCGUCAUCUUAUACUUGGGAGUCAGACUGUGGGUGAUAAGAUUCAUAGUCGAAAGGGCAACAGCCCAGAUCGUCAGCUAAGGUCCCUAGAUGUAAGUUAAGUGGUAAAGGAUGUGGGAUUGCACAGACAACCAGGAUGUUGGCUUAGAAGCAGCCACUCAUUCAAAGAGUGCGUAAUAGCUCACUGGUCGAGUGAUCCUGCGCCGAAGAUUUCCGGGGCUAAAACUUACUACCGAAGCUACGGCAUCAGUAAUGAUGGGUAGGGGAGCUUCCCAUACGGGUUGAAGCAUGACCGUAAGGACAUGUGGACAGUAUGGGAGUGAGAAUGUUGGCAUGAGUAGCGAGAUGUGGGUGAGAAUCCCACAGGCCGUAAACCCAAGGUUUCCAGGGGAAGGUUCGUCCGCCCUGGGUUAGUCGGGACCUAAGCUGAGGCCGAAAGGCGUAGGUGAUGGACAACAGGUUGAUAUUCCUGUACUACCGAUAACCGUUUGAGAGAAGGGAUGACACAGUAGGAUAAGCUAAGCACACUGUUGGUUAUGUGUGCCCAAGCAUUGAGGCAGUCAAAGUAGGCAAAUCCGCUUUGAUAAUGCUGGGAUGUGAUGGGGAGCGAAAUUUAGUAGCGAAGUAGCUGAUUUCACACUGUCAAGAAAAGUCUCUAUCGAGGUUAAAGGUACCCGUACCGCAAACCGACACAGGUGGGUGAGGAGAGUAUCCUAAGGCCAGCGAGAGAACUGUUGUUAAGGAACUCGGCAAAAUGACCCCGUAACUUAGGGAUAAGGGGUGCCACCAUUAGGUGGCCGCAGAGAAUAGGCCCAAGCGACUGUUUACCAAAAACAUAGGUUUCUGCUAAGUCGCAAGACGAUGUAUAGGAGCUGACGCCUGCCCGGUGCUGGAAGGUUAAGGGGAUCUGUUAGAGUAAUCGAAGCAGUGAACUUAAGCCCCAGUAAACGGCGGCCGUAACUAUAACGGUCCUAAGGUAGCGAAAUUCCUUGUCGGGUAAGUUCCGACCCGCACGAAAGGCGUAACGAUUUGGGCACUGUCUCA
rnacentral:rRNA from 1 species